rnacentral:rRNA from 1 species
AUGAACGCUGGCGGCGUGCUUAAUACAUGCAAGUCGAACGAAGAGCCCUUAACCGAAGAUGAUGACGUGCUUAGCACUGAAUCUGAUUCACCUUAGGGUUACUGAGUGGCGGACGGGUGAGUAACGCGUGGGUAACCUGCCUUAGACAGGGGGAUAACAUCAAGAAAUUGGUGCUAAUACCGCAUAUGCUCACAGUAUCGCAUGAUACAGUGAGGUAAAACUCCGGUGGUCUAAGAUGGACCCGCGUCUGAUUAGCUAGUUGGAGGGGUAACGGCCCACCAAGGCGACGAUCAGUAGCCGACUUGAGAGAGUGAUCGGCCACAUUGGGACUGGGACACGGCCCAAACUCCUACGGGAGGCAGCAGUAGGGAAUAUUGCACAAUGGGGAAACCCUGAUGCAGCGACGCCGCGUGAAGGAUGAAGUAUUUCGGUAUGUAAACUUCUAUCAGCAAGGAAGAAAAUGACGGUACUUGACUAAGAAGCCCCGGCUAAAAUACGUGCCAGCCGCAGC